rnacentral:rRNA from 1 species
GACGAGGGACCCUAGCGUUGUUCGGAAUCAUUGGGCGUAAAGCGGAUGUAGGUGGCUUUGUAAGUCAGGUGUGAAAGCCCUGGGCUCAACCCAGGAAGUGCAUUUGAUACUGCGAAGCUUGAGUGCCGGAGAGGUUACUGGAAUACCUGGUGUAGUGGUGAAAUUCGUAGAUAUUGGGAAGAACACCGGUGGCGAAGGCGGCUCACUGGCUCAUUACUGACGCUCAGGCGCGACAGCGUGGGGAUCAAACAGG